ensembl:lncRNA
UUUCCAGACGUACAGUAUUCUUCUCUUGGAGCUUUAUACAUCAGUGACACAGAAGACGCCAUGCAAGAAUUUGAACCGUAAACAGCGGUCCUGAACAGUAGUUUCUCUACAGGAGACUUUUCUGCCCUGAAACAAUCAUACAGUUACACUUUUACAAGACAAAAGAAAAAAGAACAUUGGUGGAAUAAUGCCGUCACAUUCGGUCAAAAUGGCCACUCUCCACCCAGGCAAGUAGCGUAGUCUGAGGCAGUUUGAGUGCAGCUGUAACUGCCUGAUUGCAUUUACCAUAGAUGUUUGUCAGAGCAGCACUACAAAGCUAACUGUGCGUGACGCACAAGUUGGUGCUCGGGCCGUGAUGGAUGAAGACUUGCGGAGGUACGACAGCUCCCAGCAGAAGUACUGACAUAUUUACACAUCGCUGGCUCCCGCACCGCCUCCAAGUGUAGACGGAGUUCAGCAGCUGGUGCUCUUACAGUUCAGUGUGUCCAACUCAGAGAAAAAGGCCUAUUGGUGGAGUUGGGUUCAGGAGAUGUGGCGUUUUCCCCCCACAGGCCUUCAGUGCGCGUCUGCGGUCCGUGCAGAGCUACCCAGGCCACUGUCAGAGCACUGGAGUUGAACUUCGCCAUUCUCCCUCCUUGAGGAACGAGUUCUGUCACUGGAGUACAGUGACCAUACAUUCAGUGGUGUAUGUAGAGCUAGCUUGAAAUGAACUUGGUCCACUGGAGUGAUUCUGAUCUAGGAAUCAUGACCUGUUCAAAUCAAAACUGAAACCUGUUCUGCAUUGAGUUAAUUUCUUCUGCAAACCAAAUGUAGAAUGUUGAACGGAAAUGGUGCAGUUCUGAACAAGGGAAGGGUUGGGUUGAGAAACAUUGCAAGAAUAGCCUUUUCCCUUUAAAUACAUUACUCAGUGCUUGAAGCCACACCUGUCAAAUGGGAGUAAACAUUUCAGAAUUGGUUUAAGGAUGUAAAAUAAUGUUUUGGGCCAACCUGAUGUUCGGUAAAAGUCUGGGAUGCUGGCCUUUUUUCCUAGUCAUCCUCUGUCCAGUGUCUGUAUUCUUUUUUCCAGUCUGAGACAUGGCUUUUUAUUUUGCAACUCUGCCUAGAAGGCCAGAAUCCCGGAGUCGCCUGUUCACUGUUGAGGUUGAGACAGGUGUUUUCCAGAUACUAUUUAAUAAAUCUGCCAGCUGAUGCUGAUUUAUUUAAUAAAUCAAUUGCUGAUGCUUCAGAUACCUAACUAGUCCAAAAAAGGCCUAAGGCUAAAAAAAAUUGCACAAGGGUUUUCUAAUGAUCACAUAGCCUUUUAAAAUGAUUAUCUUGUAUUAGCAAACACAACGUGCCAUUGGAACACAGGACUGAUGGUUUGCUUAUAAUGGGCCUCUGUACACCUAUGUCGAUAUUCCAUUGAAAAUCAGCUGUUUCCAGCAACAAAAGUCAUUUACAACAUUAACAAUGUCUAAACUCUAUUUCUGAUCAACUUGAUGUUAUUUUAAUGGACAAAAUUGUGCUUUUGUUUAAAAACAAGGACAUUUCUAAGUGACCCCAAACUUCUGAACGGUAGUGUAUAUUCAAGAUAGUAUUUACAGAUAUACAGCAAUGGACAAGGGAAGUGCACGGUUUUGUAUUUCACACUUGCUGGAUAAACCAAUGCAUGUCAUGUUUCCCACGAAAUAAGAGUGUCUUAAUUAACAACAUUUAAAUAUAAGCAUCAUGGCUUGGAUUUAGUGUUGUUUAUAAAGGCAAAGCAUAGAUUAAUGCUGUCAAUACACCGACUUUUCUUUAGGUCACUCUGGACAGUAUGUACAGAACCUCACAAAUGUGAGUAUACAUUUGAGUAUAUCUUUUCAUG